rnacentral:rRNA from 1 species
ACCAGAGGAGGAAGCCACGGCUAACUACGUGCCAGCAGCCGCGGUAAUACGUAGGUGGCGAGCGUUGUCCGGAAUUACUGGGCGUAAAGGCGCGUAGGCGGCCUGUUAAGUCAGAUGUGAAAACCCCGGGCUCAACCUGGGAGUGCAUUUGAAACUGAUGGGCUAGAGUGUCGGAGAGGGAAGCGGAAUUCCUAGUGUAGCGGUGAAU